rnacentral:rRNA from 1 species
GGGGAAUAUUGCACAAUGGGGGAAACCCUGAUGCAGCGACGCCGCGUGAAGGAAGAAGUAUUUCGGUAUGUAAACUUCUAUUAGCAGGGAAGAAAAUGACGGUACCUGACUAAGAAGCCCCGGCUAACUACGUGCCAGCAGCCGCGGUAAUACGUAGGGGGCAAGCGUUAUCCGGAUUUACUGGGUGUAAAGGGAGCGUAGACGGCAUGGCAAGUCUGGUGUGAAAGGCAGGGGCUCAACCCCUGGACUGCAUUGGAAACUGUCAGGCUGGAGUGCAGGAGAGGUAAGUGGAAUUCCUAGUGUAGCGGUGAAAUGCGUAGAUAUUAGGAGGAACACCAGUGGCGAAGGCGACUUACUGGACUGUAACUGACGUUGAGGCUCGAAAGCGUGGGGAGCAAAC